UUCCAGGUCAGUCUCAACUACAUAGUGAGACCCUGUCUCAAAAAAACAAACAAACAAAAAAACCAAACAAAACCGUGUCCAGGAGGCUGCUGGAGAGGAGCCUGCGCUGUGAAUCGGAUCCAGAGCACCUGGACGCAUUCUUGGCUUCCCACCCUCUAGACCCCCUCUUGUUCCAGUACCAACUUAGUCACAGUCGGGUGCAUCUUCACCGCUCUGAAGCAUUGGGCAGGGGCUACAGCCUUGGGGGUGGAAUAGAGGUCCCUCAGGAUGCGUGGAGUUCCCAUCAUUAUGUUUCUUUGAGGAGUCUCACUGGGGCUGAAAGAAAAAAGCAUCAGCUGGAUUUUUUCCUACCCCUCACCCCCGCUUUUCUUUGUCCCACCCCCAGCUGUAGUUAAUUUCAGUGCCUUACAAAUCCUAAGCUCAGAGAAAGUUCUGUUUCCGUUCAGAGAGAAGGGAACCUCCACGGCUCCCUCUGCCUUGUUAUCCAAGUGUGGUUGUUUAUGCAGCUCCAUCCUAAGAACUGCCGGCCCUGGCUGGAGCCGAGUCAUGUACUGGAAGGAGCUGGGUCUACAAGGGAGAUGCAGAGCUGAGCCAGUCACAUCAGUGAUCGGUGAUACUGGACUCAGGACUUGGCAGUCAGUCCCUGCUCUCCCACCUGCAAGCUGUGCAUCUGCAGGCAAGUAUUCGUACCUCCAGGAGUUUCCUCAUCUGUCACAUUGGGCCAGGUGACCUCUCCCUGGAGUCCUUCCGGCUAAAAGCUUAAGACACCACUGUUGCAAAACCCAGGGAAUCAACCCUUGUUUGUGUUGAAAAAAAAAGGUGACAGGGAUUAUCUGUUACUUAAGGUCCUUCAGUCCCAAGCCCAGCUCUCAUCUCAUUUUCAGAAAGGCACAUCUGGCACUGGCCGGGAAGUGUCCAUCUCACCCCUCUGCCUGCCAAAAUCCUUGUAGAGUCAUCCUCUGACUGAAGGAUGUGCUCCCAUUCCCUGCACUGCCUGGCUCACUGCAAAGUGUUCUAGAGUGGUCGUGCAGGUACUGAGUGCCUUUGUGGCAUUCAGAAAGUUAAGCCCCCCUUGUCUGUUUGGCCCUGGAGGAGGCAGAAGGGAGUCCUCAUUCUCUAGUAUGAGAAGCACAUGACUCCUGGCAUGUGUGACCCCCCCCCAGUGCUAGACUGAUGACUCUACUUAAUGUAGAUGAAUGGUUACCUGAGCAGAAGUACCAUCAUUUCACCCUUAAGAGCCUCCAUCCUGAAGCCACUGGGCUGUCGCCACAGCUGUGUCACCCUUAGUCUUCUCAUCAGAAUCCAGCCCUCCACAGACCAUACCUGGGCCCUGGAAGGGAAGGUAUUUUGGAGUCACGUCAGCCUCAGGGUGUCUGUCCAUCUAUGCAGCAGGCUCCCGAUGGAGUUGAACUUGGUACCACUGGGCAGUGUGUGUGUAAAGAGCAAUGUGCCUCUCCCCUCCAGAGCCUUGGUUUCUUGGCUGCAUGUAGAAUUUCUGUAAGAUCAGAAUUGUAGCCAAUUUCUUUGGCUGGAAGGGUGAAUUAUUGGUCGUUAGUGACAGGGAAGAGGGGUGGGAGUGGCUGUGGCAGUGUAUGAUGUGUGAUUAUUUUUUCUCUUUGGUCACAGGGACCAAAGAGAAAGGAAUGAGUUUCCCAUCAGACUUGCAGCUGCAGAGACUGUGCCUCUAGGACUUGUGUUCCUGUGCUGUGGGGCCACUGUGUCUGUACAAAUAAAAAGUCUGGCUUGAAAUUAGCCUUUGUCCUUUCUUGCUCAGAGGAGUCAGACCUGGCUUCGGGUGUAGCUGCAUCACUCUGCAGCUCAGUUGCCUCCAAACCCACACGCCCAUGGGCAAGGGCUAAAAACAUUGGUGUGGGGGGAACAGGACCGACAAGUCAAUUUCCGUCAUUUUCCCAGGUGAUCCAGAGUAGGUGUCACAGAUCUCUGCAAGGGAGAGGCAGUGACAGGCGAGCAUCCAGAUCUGUCGCGCGCACCUCGCCAGCAAGGAGCACGCA